AUGCUUGCUUCCUGUACAGCCUGCAGAACUGUGAGCCAAUUAAGCCUCUUUUCUUUAUAAAUUACACAGUUUUAGGUAUUUACAGCAAUUCAAGAACCGACUAAUACACAGCCUUUGCAAAAGUGUGCAUAGUCCAGGAGUACCCCACCCCAAAACAGCCAGUAUAAGACCAAUAGGAGCAAGACAGAGGGGUGAGGACAAAGAGAAGUGUGAGGAAUCUGGAGGAUUUCUUUGGCCCCUCGACUGUUGCCUCUUGCUUUCCUUCCCUGGAGAUUGUGGUCUUUCAGAACAAUCAGCCAAGCAGAAAACAGUCUUCUCUGGGUUAAGAUGGCAGCAACAAGUAAUUUAAUACUUUACCUUGAUUGGAUUAGUAGCAAAGGCAUUGACCAGUCUCUCUAGCUGAUACAAGGUCAGUUUAUCCUGUCUAAAUUAAAUCUCUUCGGCAUCCUUGGUUUGAACAGCCUACUCAUAUUUUCUGCAGAUGCUCUAUACAUUUUUGUUGUUGUUUUUUAGGGAUGGAGAAGCAAAAAUGCAUUCUCUUUUCUUAGGUGGGAGGACUGAUUGCCUCUGCCUCGCCAGCGUGAUUAUUGCAGCACAUACAUAGGUUCAGAGCUGCCGAGAAAAGUAAUGGAUCUGCCCGAAUUAGCGCCUGACUUGGGAGCUUCUUGCCCAUGUGACCAAGAAUUGGUCAAAGUCACAGGCACCUUUAGCAGCAACUCUUGGGAAGAAUGUGAUUGACUUGUCAGGAUUCUCAGUGUUAAAACCAAUGCUCUGAGUAUGAGUUGUGCAGUUGGAAUAAAGAACAGUGAAAUCGCGUACCUCUCUCAAAACAUUCAAGGCCUCUUUCUUCUACACUAACUUGCUGAUGAUUGCAAGUAAAGAGAUAAAAAUAAAUGCACUCAUGAAUCUAUCACUGGUUAAUGAUGUAUAAAUAAUCCUUCUAGGUAGACAGAUUGUCACUUCUGUGGCUGAAUUUGGAGGGAGGACCUCCAAGACUCUUGGUUGGCUAGAAAUUUAGGAUAAAAAUCACAAUUUCUUGAGCCCUGUAGAAUUUUUAUGUAGGCUUUUGUUUGUUUUUGUCACUUGAGUUAUCUGAAAUUCAAUCUUGUUCGGCUUUUAACUAAAAGAUACCUCCCUGUAAACCCAAGUCUCUCAGUUACAUGCAUUUUUGAAAACUGAAACCCAUAGAGGACACGUUACUGGUUCCAGUGCUUUGGCUAAUGAGGGCGUGCCCCUGAGAGGAGCUGGCGGUUAAUGGUGGUGUUUCUGGGCUAGGGCUGUGUCAUCUUUUUUCCUGUCCAAGAGUGUAGAGUCAUGCCAGCUAUGAAGGACAAUUAUAACUUUAAGCAAAGACAUUCCUGGGAGAGCCACCCCUCUAAAAAUGGAAAUAAGUGGGCAGGGCAAGAAUCUCUAAAAGGCCUCUGAUUUUCUUAUCCCAGCCAUGCUUAAUCCAGCAGUUAAAUGUCCUAGAAAAAUUACACCUUCGUCUUUCUUUUCACUUAUCAAGUGUCUGAGCAUGUUCCUGAUUGAGUACUUGCAGAAUUUGAAAAUGCUGAGUCGGCUGGGCUGCUAAGAAUGGGAAAAGAAAUAAAAUAAACCUUGACAAAAUUGACCCUGGCCCCUGCUGAUGAAAAAUAUAGCCCAAUAUGGCCACAGCACAGGUUCGAAGGGUGGUUCUUCUGUGAACCAGCUGUCACUUACCAGACGUAAAAAAACCGUCAGUCCACAGCUGAAUCUGGCCAACAGAGAUCUCCAGUUUAGCUAGGAAGAGUGUGGAAUUGUAUUUUUUAUUGCAGGAAGCCCUCUUUAGUUCACCACCAGUUCUUGUCUCCACUGUGUCCUCAACGUUCCCUUCCCACUUGAUCUGUAUCUGUCACCUGACUCUCCCUGGAGCCAUGUAAGUCUAUAACCACCUUCAGCCUCAUUUUCCUCAACUGCCAAAUGUGAACCAAGCCUGUUUCACAGGUUGUUGUGAGAGUCUACUGUGACAGCGUGGAUGACACGGCCAGCAUGGGCUAGUGCUGCAUGAGCUCAGUGCACUUCUUUCUUUCUCUUUUCCUUUUCUCUUGCCCCAUUUCUCAUUCUUGUUUUCCUCUUCUUUGUGAUGUUUGGAUAUUUAUUUGAUCUCGUUGCUAAACUUUAAGCAAGUUUUUUUUUUUUCAGGUCAUGGAACCUCUGGGUUAUUCUUGUUUGUCCUGAAGUGAAAGUUGUACUAAAUAUGUCCUCUGCUUCUCCACAAUGUAUGAAUCGAAAGAGGCGUAUCUAAAAGGCACAAAAGUGAUUAAACACUGAGUUAGUCAUGCCCUGAGUUAAGACGAGGUUUGACCCUGCUCCACAUUAAUCCAGAAGAUGGUUGAAGAUGACGACCUUGCAUGCAUUUUGCUUGGGGGAUCUUACAGUUAGUGAAAUUAAACUGCCUCGCUG